UUAAGUUCAGCGGGUAUCCCUACCUGAUCCGAGGUCAACCUAGAAUAGAAGUUUUGACGGCGCAGACCCCCUCCUCGCCAGCGAAUACGUUGCCACAACGCUGAGAAUCGGGUUGUCCAGCCGGUGAAAUCGGGGCGCACGGGAGCCGUGUCGCCCAAUGCCAAGCCAGGCUUGAGUGGUGUAAUGACGCUCGAACAGGC
rnacentral:misc_RNA from 1 species